GUGGGAGGAUCGCUUGAGCCCAGGUGGUUGAGGCCACAGUGAGCUGUGAUCAUACCACUGCACUCCAGCCUGGGUGACAGAGUUAGACCUUGUCUC
ensembl:miRNA